AUUUAUUUUUCGCUGAAUGCUCCUGAUCUUGUCUGAUCUCAGAAGCUAAGUAGGGCCAGGCCUGGUUAGUACUUGGAUGGGAGAUCACAGAUUAAGAAAGGAUAUUAAAAAUG
rnacentral:rRNA from 1 species